UACGGAGGGGGCUAGCGUUGUUCGGAAUUACUGGGCGUAAAGCGCACGUAGGCGGCUUCGCAAGUCAGAGGUGAAAUCCCGGGGCUCAACCUCGGAACUGCCUUUGAGACUGCGUCGCUCGAAUCCGGGAGAGGCGGGUGGAAUUCCGAGUGUAGAGGUGAAAUUCGUAGAUAUUCGGAAGAACACCAGUGGCGAAGGCGGCCCGCUGGACCGGUACUGACGCUGAGGUGCGAAAGCGUGGGGAGCAAACAGG
rnacentral:rRNA from 1 species